AUGCCACUAUUAUCUCUCUUAGUUCUCUUCCUCUCCUUCUCGGCUUCGUCAGAAGGUCAGACACUCUGCAGCGACAAUAAUGGCGGCAUGUACAUGCCAAACAGCACCUACAAAUCCAACCUUGUAUCCCUCGCUGAACUACUGUUUGCCAAAGCCACAGAGGAGCACUCAGCUACUGGCACGGCUGGCAUACGACCAGACAAGGUCUAUGGUGCAGUGCUUUGUCGGGGUGAUUCUGACGGCUCCGACUGUCGGAAGCGCCUAACCAGGGCCCUUGAUGAAGCAAUCAACAGCAAAGCUGGCAACUCUUACUCCCUCCAGAGUAACAACGUGACCUACUACGACGACCAAUACCAGGCACAGAUAAGCUUCUCUGACCAGGACUUCCUUUCCAACUUCAGCAACAUGCCCGGGUGCACCGUGAAUACUAACCUGAACUCCGUGACGGCCACUGGAGUAGCCAAGCGUUAUGAAGACCUUGUCAACAAGCUGAUACAUGCGCUUGCUGAUGCUGUGGUGAGCCGAGCAGAAAAAUAUGCAGUCAGGAAAGUGAGGUCUGAGGAGACAGGACAGACGGUGUAUGGGCUGGCGCAGUGCAUACGGGAUAUGCCAUAUGAGAGUUGUGCGCCAUGCCUGGAUCGCAUAAUCUCUGACAUGCAGAGUAAGAUCAUUGCUGGCCAGAUAGGGGCAGCAUUUCUUGGGGUGUGGUGCACAUUGCGUUAUGAGACGGACACACAGUUCUUUACUGAUACCAAGAUGCUGUCACUCGGUCCACCGUUAGAACAAACAAUAUUUAAACUAGGACGGCUGUAUUUGUCAAUACAAAUUGCAAUAAAUCUUUGGAGGAUGGGAGGAGCCAACACAGAAUUUUCAGUUUAUGAUUUCUCCAAGAUAAAAGAAGCUACAAAUAACUUCUCGAUUGGUAACAAACUGGGACAAGGUGGCUUUGGUCCUGUAUAUAAGGGCCGAUUAAGAAAUGGACACAAAAUAGCAGUCAUGAGACUGCAAACAUCUUCUUUGCAAGGUUUACUGGAAUUCCAAAACGAAAUUCAACUCAUAGCAAAGGUUCAACACAAAAAUCUCGUGAAACUGCUGGGAUGUUGCACUCAAGGAGAUCGAGAAAAAAUGCUAGUAUAUGAAUAUAUGGAAAACAAAAGCCUAGACAACUUCAUCUUUGAUAUCAUUAAAGGAAGGCGAUUAAACUAG
rnacentral:rRNA from 1 species